AGGAUUAACGCUGGCGGCGUGCCUGACACAUGCAAGUCGAACGAGGCCGCAAGGCCGAGUGGCGGACGGGUGAGUAACACGUGACCAACCAACCUCGAAGUUGGGAAUAGCUCUGCGAAAGUAGGGGUAAUACCGAAUGUGGCCCAGGGCGGGCAUCCGCCUUGGUCUAAAGAUUCAUCGCUUCGAGACGGGGUCGCGGCCUAUUAGCUUGUUGGUGAGGUAACGGCUCACCAAGGCGAUGAUGGGUAGCUGGUCUGAGAGGACGACCAGCCACACUGGGACUGAGACACGGCCCAGACUCCUACGGGAGGCAGCAGUGAGGAAUCUUCCGCAAUGGGCGAAAGCCUGACGGAGCAACGCCGCGUGUGGGAUGAAGACUCUAGGGUUGUAAACCACUGGUCGGAGGGGACGAUCGUGACGGUACCCUCAAGAAAGCCCCGGCUAACUACGCGCCAGCAGCCGC
rnacentral:rRNA from 1 species